UACGUAGGGACCAAGCGUUGUUCGGAUUUACUGGGCGUAAAGGGCGCGUAGGCGGCAACUUAAGUCAGCUGUGAAAUCUCCGAGCUUAACUCGGAACUGUCAGCUGAUACUGAUGUGCUAGAGUGCGGAAGGGGCAAUCGGAAUUCUUGGUGUAGCGGUGAAAUGCGUAGAUAUCAAGAGGAACACCUGAGGUGAAGACGGGUUGCUGGGCCGACACUGACGCUGAGUGCGCGAAAGCCAGGGGAGCGAACGGG
rnacentral:rRNA from 1 species